AGUGAACGCUGGCGGUAGGCCUAACACAUGCAAGUCGAACGGCAGCGCAGGAGAGCUUGCUCUCUGGGUGGCGAGUAGCGGACGGGUGAGGAAUACAUCGGAAUCUACCUUUUCGCGGGGGAUAACGUAGGGAAACUUACGCUAAUACCGCAUACGACCUACGGGUGAAAGUGGGGGACCGCAAGGCCUCACGCGAUUAG
rnacentral:rRNA from 1 species